GGGGGAAUAAUGUUUAGUCCACAUGAAAAUAAAAUCAGAAAAUAGGUUGAAGGCAAGGAGAACAAACAAACCAGCAAUGAAACGUGUCAGCAUAAUGAAGAAAAAUGGAACUAUAUAAAAAUCCAAUGAAAUAGGACAAUAGGUUCAAUGUCAUUAAUCCAGAUUUAUAAUUUGACUGAAGUUGCUCAUGGACUUUUUCUAAGCCUAUAAACUUGACUUAACCUCAACAGGAUUAUUGUUUC
rnacentral:misc_RNA from 1 species